rnacentral:rRNA from 1 species
AUUGAACGCUGGCGGCAGGCCUAACACAUGCAAGUCGAGCGGUUGACGGGAGCUUGCUCCCUGAUUCAGCGGCGGACGGGUGAGUAAUGCCUAGGAAUCUGCCUAUUAGUGGGGGACAACGUUUCGAAAGGAACGCUAAUACCGCAUACGUCCUACGGGAGAAAGCAGGGGACCUUCGGGCCUUGCGCUAAUAGAUGAGCCUAGGUCGGAUUAGCUUGUUGGUGAGGUAAUGGCUCACCAAGGCGACGAUCCGUAACUGGUCUGAGAGGAUGAUCAGGCAGACUGGAACUGAGACACGGUCCGGACUCCUACGGGAGGAAGCAGUGGGGAAUAUUGGACAAUGGGCGAAAGCCUGAUCCAGCCAUACCGCGUGUGUGAAGAAGGUCUUCGGAUUGUAAAGCACUUUAAGUUGGGAGGAAGGGUUGUAGAUUAAUACUCUGCAAUUUUGACGUUACCGACAGAAUAAGCACCGGCUAACUCUGUGCCAGCAGCCGCCGCAGUAA